GUGCUCGCUUCGGCAGCACAUAUACUAAAAUUGGAACGAUACAGAGACAUUAGCAUGGCCCCUGCCCAAGGAUGACACGAAAAUUAGUCAAGUGUUCCAUAUUUUU
ensembl:snRNA U6 U6 spliceosomal RNA